rnacentral:lncRNA from 1 species
UGAUGAGAGGGAGGAGGCUGAGGAGUUGUUUGUACCAGUUGGAGGGAUCUGUUGUGUCCAGGAAGGUUGAAGUAAUUGCUUCAGCCAUGGAGGAUCAGCUAGAGGUCCAGUCGGUGUAGAUUGGAUAAUUGAUGAUAUGCUUAUCAGAUCUACUAGUUAUGGGGUCACUAGAUCACAGCGAGAUGGAGCACAGAGGAUUGGUGUGUACAUGUGG